UCCUGGUUAGCUGAGUUGGUAGGGUGCUUCACUAGAAAUAGAGAGGUCCCUGGUUCGAUACCAGGACCAGGCG
rnacentral:tRNA from 1 species